UACGUAGGGUGCGAGCGUUAAUCGGAAUUACUGGGCGUAAAGCGUGCGCAGGCGGUUUUGUAAGCCAGAUGUGAAAUCCCCGGGCUUAACCUGGGAAUGGCAUUUGGGACUGCAAGGCUUGAGUGCGGCAGAGGAGACUGGAAUUCCUGGUGUAGCAGUGAAAUGCGUAGAUAUCAGGAGGAACACCGAUGGCGAAGGCAGGUCUCUGGGCUGACACUGACGCUCAUGCACGAAAGCGUGGGAGCAAACAGG
rnacentral:rRNA from 1 species